CCUACGGGUGGCAGCAGUGGGGAAUAUUGCACAAUGGGGGAAACCCUGAUGCAGCAACGCCGCGUGAGUGAUGACGGCCUUCGGGUUGUAAAGCUCUGUCUUCAGGGACGAUAAUGACGGUACCUGAGGAGGAAGCCACGGCUAACUACGUGCCAGCAGCCGCGGUAAUACGUAGGUGGCGAGCGUUGUCCGGAUUUACUGGGCGUAAAGGGAGCGUAGGCGGACUUUUAAGUGAGAUGUGAAAUACUCGGGAUCAACUUGAGUGCUGCAUUUCAAACUGUAAGUCUAGAGUGCAGGAGAGGAGAAUGGAAUUCCUAGUGUAGCGGUGAAAUGCGUAGAGAUUCGGAGGAACACCGGUGGCGAAGGCGGCCAACUGGGCUUUAACUGACGCUGAGGCUCGAAAGUGUGGGGAGCAAACAGGAUUAGAUACCCCAGUAGUC
rnacentral:rRNA from 1 species